UACGUAGGGGGCUAGCGUUGUCCGGAAUCAUUGGGCGUAAAGCGCGCGUAGGCGGCCCGGUAAGUCCGCUGUAAAAAGUCAAAGGCUCAACCUUUGAAUGUCAGUGGAUACUGCCGGGCUAGAGUCCGGAAGAGGCGAGUGGAACUCCUGGUGUAGCGGUGGAAUGCGCAGAUAUCAGGAAGAACACCGACGGCGAAGGCAGCUCGCUGGGACGGUACUGACGCUGAGGCGCGAAAGCGUGGGGAGCGAACAGG
rnacentral:rRNA from 1 species